GCAACUGUGGUUAACGGUAACACGUCUGACCCGGCUUGUCAGAAGACGUGGGUUCAAAUCCCACCAGUGGCG